rnacentral:misc_RNA from 1 species
UUUCCGUAGGUGAACCUGCGGAAGGAUCAUUACUGAGCGAGGGGCCUCUAGGUCCAACCUCCCACCCAGGUUUAUUUUACCUUGUUGCCUCGGUGAGCCCGCCUCACGGCCGCCGGGGGGCAUCUGCCCCCGGGCCCGCGCUCGCCGAAGUCACCCUUGAACUCUGUCUGAAGUUUGCAGUCUGAGCGAAAACUAAAUAAGUUAAAACUUUCAACAACGGAUCUCUUGGUUCCG